rnacentral:lncRNA from 1 species
UCAGCACCCCCAGCCCCAUGAGAUGCCCCAGCCUUCACUCAGGAGCUGCAGCCUCCAUUUAGGGCCCAGGACAGGACAAAUCUCCCUCUCCCCCAGCCCCCAGGAGCCCCGUGCUCGCUCACCAAACACCCCAAACCCAAAAACACUGCUCUGCGCACGCUUUUGGGGCCAAGCAGGGUGCUCCCAGCGGGACCAGGACCCCCUUGGGCACAGCACCAGCCCCCCCAAACCCCACACAGCCCAUCCCCACCUCACCACGCUCUCCCCAACCCCACAACUCGCCGGUCCGCGCACGUGGGCCUGGCGGUGGGAAAAGCAGGGCACAUCUCAGCGUGGGCCUCUCGCCUAUUUUCCCAGGCACAUUUUUUUUUGUUUUAUUUUUUCCAGAAUCCAUCACAUGAAAAAGUUCAAGCUGCUUCCCCGGCUAAAGCGGGAACAAAAGCAGCGCCCGGCUGGUGGGGAGGGGGGCACGGCUGCCCCGUUCCUCCGUCCCCGCUCUCAGAGGGGAGCCCGGCACAAAGGGAACGGCGUGGCCAAACCUUCCCAAAAUAACCCUACCUGCCCCUCCAGCCGAUGCUCUCCUGCUGCAUCCUUCAGCCCAGAUCCCAAAACACAAAAUAAGGAGGUGGUGGCGGGGGGAAAUGGACCGUAAACGGGUCGUGGUCUCUGCGAGAACCCCGCUCUCAGCCCCUAGAGACACCCAGGGGUGCUGCUGGUGGGGCUGGGAGCUGUAGGGCCACAUUUGCACCCUCCUCAUCCUCCCAAAUGGGGCUGAGCCUCCAUCCUGGGGCCGAGCAGCACUGCCCAAAAUCCCAUGGAGCAGCAGCCCCCUGCCUGGGCUUAAAUACCCCCAGGUGCCUGGGGGGGGUGCCCAGGUGGGGCUGCUCAAGGCCAAUUUGGUGCAAUUGAGGUUUGGGGGGGCACUUUUGGGGUUGAACCAUGGCUGGCUGCCCCAUGGGGGGCACCUCCCUUCUAUAGCCCCCCCCAAAAUCCCUCAGGGGGGGGUGCAGCCAAGCCAUGGGGCAGACCCAUUUGGGGUCACCACGGGGCAGGACCACCCUGGGGUGCCGCAGCCCCCCUAAAUCCACCUGUGCGCCCCCAUCUGCAGGCAGCAACCCAUAAUGGGGGGGGGGGCGAGGAGACUGCAGGGGGGCCGAGCACUCCAAAACCGGGGGGGGGCGAGCAGCAACGGGGUGUGGGGGGGUCCCAAAGGGCUGUCAGGGUGACAACCACGGGGUUUGGGGACACCACGGGGGACGGGGACACGGGGGACGGGGACCCAACGGGGAGGGAGAGGAGGG